GUGCCAGCCGCUGCGGUAAUACGUAGGGGCAAGCGUUGUCCGGAAUUAUUGGGCGUAAAGGGCACGCAGGCGGUUUCGUCAGUCCGAUGUGACAGGCCACGGCUCAACCGUGGAAGGCCAUUGGAAACUGCGAAACUUGAGGACAGAAGAGGAGAGUGGAAUUCCACGUGUAGCGGUGAAAUGCGUAGAUAUGUGGAGGAACACCAGUGGCGAAGGCGACUCUCUGGUCUGUACCUGACGCUGAGGUGCGAAAGCAUGGGAGCAAACAGGAUUAGAUACCCUGGUAGUCCAUGCCGUAAACGCUGAGUGCGUAGGUGUUAGGGUUCGAUA
rnacentral:rRNA from 1 species